rnacentral:lncRNA from 1 species
GUGUUUCAGCAGAAGUGUUGGAACUGGUGUGGUCGGAUUGAUUCUCAGCUUGGACACGGUUCUGCAUCGAGGAGGCUUUGUUGGUUUGUAAGGGAGAGGAGGAUUUCUGAGGUAGGGUAAUGAAGUUUUGGUGGCUUUCGAUGUUUGGCAACAAGGGUUUUUCAACAGUAGAAUUUUGAGUUUCAGAUCUAGGAACAGUAGAAGAAGGUUCAAGAGGAACAGUUUUGGUGUUCUCAGGUACCAGUGGGGAGCCAGUACUUGAAGAAACAGUUAAUUGACGCUGAACUUCAGCACCAGUUUGUGGGGAUUUGGGUUUCAUCGUACCUUUCAUUUUAGUUUUUGACUUAAACAUUGUUACAUAUGUUGUUUUUGGAAGCAACUUGUAAGAAUAU